rnacentral:rRNA from 1 species
UACGUAGGGGGCAAGCGUUGUCCGGAUUUAUUGGGCGUAAAGAGCGUGUAGGCGGCCAUGCAGGUCCGCUGUGAAAACUCGAGGCUCAACCUCGAGACGUCGGUGGAAACCGCAUGGCUAGAGUCCGGAAGAGGAGAGUGGAAUUCCCGGUGUAGCGGUGAAAUACGCAGAUAUCGGGAAGAACACCCGUGGCGAAGGCGGCUCUCUGGGACGGUACUGACGCUGAGACGCGAAAGCGUGGGGAGCGAACAGG